AGUGAACGCUGGCGGUAGGCCUAACACAUGCAUGUCGAACGGCAGCACAGUAAGAGCUUGCUCGUACGGGUGGCGAGUGGCGGACGGGUGAGGAAUACAUCGGAAUCUACUUUUUCGUGGGGGAUAACGUAGGGAAACUUACGCUAAUACCGCAUACGACCUACGGGUGAAAGCAGGGGAUCUUCGGACCUUGCGCGAUUGAAUGAGCCGAUGUCGGAUUAGCUAGUUGGCGGGGUAAAGGCCCACCAAGGCGACGAUCCGUAGCUGGUCUGAGAGGAUGAUCAGCCACACUGGAACUGAGACACGGUCCAGACUCCUACGGGAGGCAGCAGUGGGGAAUAUUGGACAAUGGGCGCAAGCCUGAUCCAGCCAUACCGCGUGGGUGAAGAAGGCCUUCGGGUUGUAAAGCCCUUUUGUUGGGAAAGAAAAGCAGCAGGUUAAUACCCCGCUGUUCUGACGGUACCCAAAGAAUAAGCACCGGCUAACUUCGUG
rnacentral:rRNA from 1 species